rnacentral:rRNA from 1 species
GAUGAACGCUGGCGGCGUGCCUAAUACAUGCAAGUCGAGCGAACAGACGAGGAGCUUGCUCCUCUGACGUUAGCGGCGGACGGGUGAGUAACACGUGGAUAACCUACCUAUAAGACUGGGAUAACUUCGGGAAACCGGAGCUAAUACCGGAUAAUAUAUUGAACCGCAUGGUUCAAUAGUGAAAGACGGUUUUGCUGUCACUUAUAGAUGGAUCCGCGCCGCAUUAGCUAGUUGGUAAGGUAACGGCUUACCAAGGCAACGAUGCGUAGCCGACCUGAGAGGGGGAUCGCCCACACGGGACAUGGGACACGUGCCAGACUCCUAGGGGGGGCAGCAGGAGGGAAUCUUCCGCAAGGGGCGAAAGCCUGACGGGGCAACGCCGCGGGAGUGAAGAAGUUCUUCGGAUCGUAAAACUCUGUUAUUAGGGAAAAACAAAUGUGUAAGUAACUAUGCACGUUUUGGCGGGACCUAAGCAAAAAGCCACGGCAAACUACGU